rfam:Peniophora sp. CONT PENSPscaffold_66_Cont113, whole genome shotgun sequence.
GCCUGCCUAGCUCAAUCGGCUAGAGCGUGUGACUUUUACGGACUACCUAACGGUUCAACGUAAUCACAAGGCUGCGGGUUCGAGUCCCGCGGUGGGCU